rnacentral:rRNA from 1 species
CCUACGGGAGGCAGCAGUGGGGAAUUUUGGACAAUGGGGGCAACCCUGAUCCAGCCAUUCCGCGUGAGUGAAGAAGGCCUUCGGGUUGUAAAGCUCUUUCGCAAGGGAAGAAAACUUAUGAUCGAAUAAAUCAUGAGGUUGACGGUACCUUGAUAAGAAGCACCGGCUAACUACGUGCCAGCAGCCGCGGUAAUACGUAGGGUGCGAGCGUUAAUCGGAAUUACUGGGCGUAAAGCGUGCGCAGGCGGUUUUGUAAGUCGGAUGUGAAAUCCCCGGGCUCAACCUGGGAACUGCGUUCGAAACUGCAAGGCUAGAGUGUGUCAGAGGGGGGUAGAAUUCCACGUGUAGCAGUGAAAUGCGUAGAGAUGUGGAGGAAUACCAAUGGCGAAGGCAGCCCCCUGGGAUAACACUGACGCUCAUGCACGAAAGCGUGGGGAGCAAACAGGAUUAGAUACCCUGGUAGUCCACGCCCUAAACGAUGUCAACUAGUUGUUGGUAGAGUAAAAUCUAUAAGUAACGUAGCUAACGCGUGAAGUUGACCGCCGCGGGAGGUACGGUCGGCGAGAAGUUAAACGUUAACGUUAAAGAAGUUAGUUAGGUUCGUGNGAGNGCGACGGACGACGACGAGGGAGGAGG